rnacentral:rRNA from 1 species
CAUUACCGAGUUUACAACUCCCAAACCCAUGUGAACAUACCUACUGUUGCUUCGGCGGGAUUGCCCCGGGCGCCUCGUGUGCCCCGGAUCAGGCGCCCGCCUAGGAAACUUAAUUCUUGUUUUAUUUUGGAAUCUUCUGAGUAGUUUUUACAAAUAAAUAAAAACUUUCAACAACGGAUCUCUUGGUUCUGGCAUCGAUGAAGAACGCAGCGAAAUGCGAUAAGUAAUGUGAAUUGCAGAAUUCAGUGAAUCAUCGAAUCUUUGAACGCACAUUGCGCCCGCCAGUAUUCUGGCGGGCAUGCCUGUCUGAGCGUCAUUUCAACCCUCAUGCCCCUAGGGCGUGGUGUUGGGGAUCGGCCAAAGCCCGCGAGGGACGGCCGGCCCCUAAAUCUAGUGGCGGACCCGUCGUGGCCUCCUCUGCGAAGUAGUGAUAUUCCGCAUCGGAGAGCGACGAGCCCCUGCCGUUAAACCCCCAACUUUCCAAGGUUGACCUCAGAUCAGGUAGGAAUACCCGCUGAACUUAAGCAUAUC